UGAGGAAUAUUGGGCAAUGCCCGAAAGGGUGACCCAGCAACGCCGCGUGGAGGAUGAAGGUCGUAAGAUUGUAAACUCCUGUUAGAGGGGAAGAAUAACUAAGUUUGGAGCUUAGUAUGACUGUACCCUCAGAGAAAGCCCCGGCUAACUACGUGCCAGCAGCCGCGGUAAUACGUAGGGGGCAAGCGUUGUCCGGAUUUACUGGGUGUAAAGGGCGCGCAGGCGGAAUGGAAGGUCAGUGGUGAAAUCCUACAGCUUAACUGUAGAACUGCCUUGGAUACUUUCAUUCUUGAGUUCGGGAGAGAGAGACGGAAUUCCAGGUGUAGUGGUGAAAUACGUAGAUAUCUGGAAGUACACCAGUUGCGAAGGCGGUCUCUUGGUCCGAUACUGACGCUGAGGCGCGAAAGCGUGGGGAGCAAACA
rnacentral:rRNA from 1 species